GUUCAUUUCUUUGAUGCUAAAGCACAAAGAGUAAGUUCUUAUUGAACAUAUCUCACAACAGUCUAUAUUCACUGACUAACGAAGCUUUAAAAUGAGGACUCUCGUUGUUGUUGGAUUACUCAUCGCCAYCAUGUCCAUGCUUGUCGAUGGCUUACCGGAUCAGAAAAAGAAGGCAAUGAAAGCUAAGAAAGUUCCAUUGGAGAUAAAGAAAGACGAGAAGAAUAUAGUGUCACUACAAAGUGAGGUGACAGAAAAGAAAGCAAUAAAACAGCAAG